rnacentral:misc_RNA from 1 species
GAAAUGCGAUAAGUAAUGUGAAUUGCAGAAUUCAGUGAAUCAUCGAAUCUUUGAACGCACAUUGCGCCCCCUGGUAUUCUGGGGGGCAUGCCUGUUCGAGCGUCAUUUCACCACUCAAGCCUCGCUUGGUAUUGGGCGACGCGGUCCGCCGCGCGCCUCAAAUCGACCGGCUGGGUCUUUCGUCCCCUCAGCGUUGUGGAAACUAUUCGCUAAAGGGUGCCGCGGGAGGCCACGCCGUAAAACAACCCCAUUUUCUAAGGUUGACCUCGGAUCAGGUAGGGAUACCCGCUGAACUUAAGC